rnacentral:rRNA from 1 species
CCUACGGGAGGCAGCAGUGGGGAAUCUCGCACAAUGGAGGAAACUCUGAUGCAGCGAUGCCGCGUGAGUGAAGAAGGCCUUUGGGUUGUAAAGCUCUUUCGUCGGGGAAGAAAAUGACCGUACCCGAAUAAGAAGGUCCGGCUAACUUCGUGCCAGCAGCCGCGGUAAUACGAAGGGACCUAGCGUAGUUCGGAAUUACUGGGCUUAAAGAGUUCGUAGGUGGUUGAAAAAGUUGGUGGUGAAAUCCCAGAGCUUAACUCUGGAACUGCCAUCAAAACUUUUCAGCUAGAGUAUGAUAGAGGAAAGCAGAAUUUCUAGUGUAGAGGUGAAAUUCGUAGAUAUUAGAAAGAAUACCAAUUGCGAAGGCAGCUUUCUGGAUCAUUACUGACGCUGAGGAACGAAAGCAUGGGUAGCGAAGAGGAUUAGAUACCCUCGUAGUCCAUGCCGUAAACGAUGUGUGUUAGACGUUGGAAAUUUAUUUUCAGUGUCGCAGCGAAAGCGAUAAACACACCGCCUGGGGAGUACGACCGCAAGGUUAAAACUCAAAUGAAUUGACGG